rnacentral:misc_RNA from 1 species
GUUGCUGAAUUCGGCCACUGGGAUUACUACAACGGACUGCCAAUGAAGCAGUAUUUUGAAUCCGCCUGGCAGACACAGUUUCGCUUCUGGGGCGAGGACGAGGAUCUCUUCAAGAUUCCAGUGGCAGCACAGGCACCGACACAGCCGGCCUACUACCAAGUUAAGAAGAGAGGAGAUGGUAGGGAGAAGCAGGGAAGGGGUGAGGAGAAGCAGAGGAAGCUAAGCA